GAUGAACGCUGGCGGCGUGCCUAAUACAUGCAAGUCGAGCGAACAGACGAGGAGCUUGCUCCUUUGACGUUAGCGGCGGACGGGUGAGUAACACGUGGAUAACCUACCUAUAAGACUGGGAUAACUUCGGGAAACCGGAGCUAAUACCGGAUAACAUGUUGAACCGCAUGGUUCAACAGUGAAAGACGGUCUUGCUGUCACUUAUAGAUGGAUCCGCGCCGCAUUAGCUAGUUGGUAAGGUAACGGCUUACCAAGGCAACGAUGCGUAGCCGACCUGAGAGGGUGAUCGGCCACACUGGAACUGAGACACGGUCCAGACUCCUACGGGAGGCAGCAGUAGGGAAUCUUCCGCAAUGGGCGAAAGCCUGACGGAGCAACGCCGCGUGAGUGAAGAAGGUCUUCGGAUCGUAAAACUCUGCUAUUAGGGAAGAACAAAUGUGUAAGUAACUAUGCACGUCUUGACGGUACCUAAUCAGAAAGCCACGGCUAACUACGUG
rnacentral:rRNA from 1 species